UCACCAAUGGAGAUGGCCUA
rnacentral:siRNA from 1 species